UCGAGAAUUUUUCUCAAUGGGGGAAACCCUGAAGGAGCGACGCCGCGUGGGGGAUGAAGGACUUCGGUUCGUAAACCCCUGUCACUUGGGAACAAAAGCUGCAACCUAACACGUUGCAGUCUGAUAGUACCAGGAGAGGAAGGCACGGCUAACUCUGUGCCAGCAGCCGCGGUAAUACAGAGGUGCCAAGCGUUGUUCGGAUUUAUUGGGCGUAAAGGGUGCGUAGGCGGUUAUGUAAGUCGGAUGUGAAAUCCCGGAGCCUAACUCCGGAACGGCAUUCGAAACUGCAUAGCUCGAGGUCUGGAGAGGUGACUGGAAUUCUCGGUGUAGCAGUGAAAUGCGUAGAUAUCGAGAGGAACACCAGAGGCGAAGGCGAGUCACUGGACAGAACCUGACGCUGAGGCACGAAAGCUAGGGGAGCAAACGG
rnacentral:rRNA from 1 species